GUACCCGCAUCAUCCAUCACUUCAGCCACCACAUGUCACAUUUUCUCAUUCUCAUCUCUUUCCACAGAGACUGCCUCCUCUGCAACUCCUUGAUUCAAUCGUCCCUUCUCACCCAAACCACCCCCUCUCCAGUUACUUUCCCCAGCAUGAGACAUAACACCUGUACCUGAUAUACCUCCUCCCUCGCUUCCAUCUAGGGACCCAGCAGUCCUCCCAGGUGAGACAGGUUGACGUGCACCUUCUCCAAACUCAUUUGCUGCAUCUGGUGUUCCCAAUGUUGCCUGUACAUCGGCGAGACCAGCUGUCGUAUCGCUAAACACUUGCACUCCGUCCAUCAAAGCCCACUAGAAUUCCCAGUUGCUAACCAUUUUAAUUCCCAUUCCGUUACUGACCUUUCUGUCCUGGGCCUCCUCCAUUGCCAAAGUGAAGCCACAUGCCCCUCAUCUAUUCCAGCUUUAUUUCCUCUUCGCCCCCACAUUCCACACACACACACACACACACACACACACACAAUCAGUAUGAAGAUUCCAAACUGGAAGCAUCACUUAUCCUGUUCUCCAGAGAUGCUAAGGUGCUGCUUGACCUGCUGAGCAACUCAAGCUCCAUGUCAUUUUCUGCUAGGCUCAUUGAUUCAUUGCAAAAGCAACAGUAAGCGAAUUAAAGAAAUUGGACUCUAAUUUGAUGUCACACUUCAAGCUAAUAGUAUGUCAUUUAUAUUUGUGUAAUUGCUGUAGCAACUUCAGAUGAGGUACAAGUGCAGAACAGCUUCAUCUUCUGGACACAAAGUGCUGGAGUAGGUCAGGCAGUGUCUGGAGAACAUGGAUAGGUGAUGUUUCAGGGCGAGACUGUUCUACCGACAUGAGAUGCUGCUUGACCCGCUGAGCUACUCCAGCAUUCUGUGUCCUUUUGUAUAUUAACAAGCAUUUGCAGUUCUUUGUUUCUACAUCUUGCUUCAUCUGUUGUCUGGCUCACUAUUGAAGUGUCAUGGUACUAAUUUAAAAUUUAAAUUUAUUCAUUCCAAAUUACACUUCUCAGUCUAUGUGUAAUGCUGUUAAGUUUCGGUUCUUUCAGUUUUGGUCAUUAGUUUUUGUGCAGAUACUGGAAAUCUGAAAUUAAGAACAGAAAAUGUUGGAAACAUUCAGCAGUUGAGGCAGCAUCUGUGAAAGGAGAAAUAGAUAAUGUUUAAGGUCCAGGACUCAUCACCUGAUGAUUGGUCCCAGACCUGAAACAUGAACUCUCUCUUGGGUACACAAAAAUGCUGGAGAAACUCAGCAGUCUCCAGACUGAAGAAGGGUUUCGGCCCGAAACGUUGCCUAUUUCCUUCGCUCCAUAGAUGCUGCUGCACCCGCUGAGUUUCUCCAGCAUUUGUGUACCAUUAACUCUCUGUUAAUUGGAUUAGUUAUUUGCCCCGGUUACUAAGACCUUGAAUUUAUUUGCUGUUCUAUUGUCGGCUUGUUUUCAGCGGCUUGCAGUGGAGAAAAUAUGAUUAAAGAGUCACCCUCCCGCAGCAAAUUAUGCAUCGAUCAUUUUGCUAUGCAAGAUUAGUAUCUACAUUAACAAACAGGGCUCAGGCAGUGAUGAAGGUGGAUUUUCUACAAUUUAUAUUUGGCCUUAAUCCACUGGGUGGUGCCGUCAGCGAUGGCAGCCUCGCCAACGAUGUGGGGAGAAAACCGGAAAACCCUGAGGAAAUCCAUAUGAUCACAGGGAGAACUUGCAGACAUCACCCGAGGUCAGGAUGGAAACUGGGACCUCAGGAGUUGUGAGGUUGUGGUAUUACCAGCUGCAUCUCUGUGCCAGUCCUAAUUUAUUGAACAAUUUAAUCAUAAAUCUUACAUCCUGAUCAGUUAUAGUGUCAAGGUAAAAAUUAUGCAUAUUGUGUUAAAUGUCUGGCAUCAAACAGAGUUUCUAUACAAGCCAAAGAUAGACACAAAAUGCUGGACUACUCAACAGGACAGGCAGCAUCUCUGGAGAGAAGGACUGGGUGAUGUUUCGGGUUGAUACCUUUCUUCAAACUUUAAGAGCCAACUGUCCUUCAUUUACUCAAAACAGCAGAAUUGUAAUCAUUACUGCUCAGGCUUAGAGACUGCAAAAUGUGUCCAGGAAUGUGUUUUCCUCUUUGAAAAAAUAAUUGAAAGCUUACUGGAGAGGAGUUCUGCUACCUAUUUAUAAGUUACAUUGUUUUCUAUUUGAGUAAGGUUCAAACACGUAUCAUAGAGGCACAAAUGAUUGUUGUUGCUGGGAUCUUCUUCUUGCGUAUGGCAUGCACAGCCUAAAGUUGUAAGACAACUUGGUCUGUUUGAUCUUCUGUUUGUGCAUGCCAGGUUGAUUGCAUUCAUCGCAACAGGGUGGACCACGUGAAGAAUCUGGGAUCUUAAGGCAAACACAAAGUGCCGGAGGAACUCAGCAGGUCAGGCAGCAUUU